CUUCGAGCAGAGCAGACUUCGGUGAUUGGACGGAGACGACAGUGGAAAAAUUCCCCGGCGUGGACACAAAGAACUGUGCGGUACUAAUUGUGGAGUAAAAUGGCGCUGUCGUCUGCAGGAGGAACAAAGAAGAAAGUUUGCUAUUAUUAUGACGGUGACGUGGGUAAUUAUUACUAUGGUCAGGGUCAUCCCAUGAAGCCCCACAGGAUCCGUAUGACCCACAACCUGCUGCUCAACUAUGGACUGUACAGGAAGAUGGAGAUCUAUAGACCCCACAAGGCCAGUGGAGAGGAGAUGACCAAGUACCACAGUGACGACUACAUCAAGUUUCUGCGUUCCAUCCGGCCAGACAACAUGUCAGAGCACAGCAAACAGAUGCAGAGAUUUAAUGUGGGAGAGGACUGCCCAGUGUUUGACGGCCUAUUUGAGUUCUGUCAGCUCUCAACGGGAGGCUCUGUCGCGGGGGCAGUGAAGCUGAACAGGCAGCAGACGGACAUCGCCAUCAACUGGGCCGGAGGACUCCAUCAUGCCAAGAAGUCUGAGGCCUCGGGGUUCUGCUACGUCAACGACAUAGUCCUCGCCAUCCUGGAGCUGCUCAAGUACCACCAGAGGGUGUUGUACAUAGACAUCGACAUUCACCAUGGAGACGGAGUGGAAGAGGCUUUCUUCACCACAGACCGGGUCAUGACGGUGUCCUUCCACAAAUAUGGAGAAUACUUCCCUGGCACCGGAGACCUGAGGGACAUUGGAGCAGGGAAGGGGAAGUACUACGCUGUAAACUACCCUCUCAGAGACGGCAUCGACGAUGAGUCUUACGAAGCCAUCUUCAAACCUGUGAUGGCUAAAGUGAUGGAGAUGUUCCAGCCCAGUGCAGUCGUGUUACAGUGUGGAGCCGACUCUCUCUCAGGAGACAGACUGGGCUGUUUCAACCUCACCAUCAAAGGUCAUGCUAAGUGUGUUGAGUACAUGAAGAGUUUCAACCUGCCUCUGUUGAUGUUGGGAGGUGGAGGUUAUACCAUCCGUAAUGUGGCCCGCUGCUGGACCUACGAGACCGCUGUGGCUCUGGACAGCAUUAUACCUAACGAGCUGCCAUACAACGACUACUUUGAGUACUUUGGUCCUGACUUCAAGCUCCACAUCAGCCCGUCUAACAUGACCAACCAGAACACCAAUGAUUACCUGGAGAAGAUCAAACAGAGGUUGUUUGAGAACCUGCGUAUGCUGCCCCACGCUCCGGGGGUCCAGAUACAGGCCAUCCCAGAAGACGCUCCACACCCGGACUCUGGAGAUGAGGAGGACGAGGACCCUGACAAACGCAUCUCCAUCAGGGCCCAUGAUAAGAGGAUAGCCUGUGAAGAGGAGUUCUCUGACUCUGAGGAUGAGGGACAGGGAGGAGGGGGAAGGAGGAACGCUGCCAACCAUAAGAAGACCAAACGAGUCAAGACUGAGGAGGAGAAAGAGGAGACUGAAGAGAAGAAAGAAGUGAAAGACGAGGAUAAAGACGCUGAAGAGAAGAUGGACACAACAGGGCCAAAAGAAGAAGCUAAGACAUGUUGAAGCACCAGAUAUGAGUUUCCAGUUGUGUGUGUGUGUGUGUGUGUGUGUGUGUGUGUGUGUGUGUGUGUGUGUGUGUGUGUGUUAUAGAUCUGCCAUUUUUAAUUGAAAGGAAGUAUAUCUGUUCGGUCUUAUUUCUAUGCUUCCUUUAGUUUUAUUUUGAAGCACUUUGUUUUUAUAAAUCAGCUUCAAACAGCUGACAAUACAAUUUGUUUAUUUAUUAUGGAAAAGAUGGUAAAAUAUACGUGUUUUCAGUUUGACAAAUUAUUUGAAUUUUAACAACCAGGAAAUGUCAGAGCGAUUUCUGCGUAGUGCAGCCUUUUUAAGCACACUUUCCUAAUAUUGAGUUUCACCCACUGUCCUUUCACCCCCAGAACAGCCUCAAUUAAUCAAGGCGUGGACUCGACAAGGUGUUGGAAAGCGUUCCACAGGGAUGCUGGCCCAUGUCGACUCCCAAUGCUUCCCACAGUUGUGUCAAGUUGGCUGGAUGUCCUUUGGGUGGUGGAUGUUUCUUGAUACACACGGGAAACUGUUGAGUGUGAAAAACAGCGCUGCAGUUCUUGACUCAAACCGGUGCACCUGUCACCUACUACCGUACCCUGUUCAAAGGCACUUGGAUUGUGUAUGCGCAACAUAAAGAUUAGUCUCGGCUUAAAAAUCCUUCUUUAACCUGUCUCUUCCCUUCAUCUAUGUGGAUUUAACAAGUGACAUCUAAUUUAAUUUAACCAGGCAAGUAAGAACAAAUUCUUAUUUACAAUGACUGCGAAACCCCGAUGACGCUGGGCCAAUUGUGUGCCGCCCGAUCGCAGCUGAAUCCGAUACAGCCGGGAAUCGAACCGGGGACUGUAGUGGUGCCUCUUUCACUGAAAUGCAGUGCCUAGUGCCAUUCGGGAGCCCAAAUAAGGGAUAUCUGUCAGCCAAUUUCACGUUUUAUAUAUUAUACAUUCUGCUUUACUCUGUUCCCUGGGUUGGUGUCUCUCGGAUGACUGUACGCUCCACACUCCUUCCUUUUACCUCGUUUUAUAUUUCUAAAAGGAAAUGUUUUUGUUUUUAGGUCAUCGGGUAUGUUGAACGUUCAAGGGUGAGGUUUCCCCUCAGUGCGUAGGGGCAACUUCACCCUACACCGUUGGGAACCAUGUUGUAAACCCUUGGUGUUUUCUACUGUAAUAAGUGAGAAUAUGUGUGUAACUUGUUUU